UACGUAGGGUGCGAGCGUUGUCCGGAAUUAUUGGGCGUAAAGGGCUCGUAGGCGGUUUGUCGCGUUGUUCGUGAAAACUCACAGCUCAACUGUGGGCGUGCGGGCGAUACGGGCAGACUAGAGUACUGCAGGGGAGACUGGAAUUCCUGGUGUAGCGGUGGAACGCGCAGAUAUCAGGAGGAACACCGGUGGCGAAGGCGGGUCUCUGGGCAGUAACUGACGCUGAGGAGCGAAAGCGUGGGGAGCGAACAGG
rnacentral:rRNA from 1 species